CUCCUCCUGAGAAGACGACCACCAACUGGACCUAUAAGAACUCCUACUCCGUCCCCAAGACUCUUAACUUUUAACUCACCCGUCCGCUAUCAAAUAUCCAGCUUUUGUGCGGCAAAACCCUUGACUUUUUUUUCUCAAAAGUGAGUAAGUGUUGUGGUUCUACGUCGUAACGAGGAUCUAACCGAAAACGAAUCAUGGGAUGGCGCUGGAGCUCCGCUGGGUUUUUUGCUUGUCUGUUAAUACAAGCAACAUUUAUUCUAUGUCAGGAGGAGAACGAGAUUACUCUUAACGAUCUCAUUCUAAUCGAAGAAAACGAACCAGUCUUUUUCGAGGAGCCAUCUCAUAUCCACAAAAGAGAUGCUGGGUGUAUAUUCGAACCUGAAAUAAUUCCAGAGGGCUCGGAGCAGUUUGGGAUUCGACUAAAACCUUUAAAAGCCAAAUCUACCUCCUUCCUGGAGCCGGCCGCCUCCACAUAUCGUGCAGCUCAAUACCAGCCUGUGCGAUAUAAUUUGCCUCCACUUACGACCAAUGAAAAUGCUAAAGUAAGCACCGACUACAGACAGAAAAACGCGCCCGCAAAAAUUAACCAAAAUCCAUUCAGUGUUAGCAAAUAUAAAGCGACAACUCCGAAGUACCCGCUAACCACACCGGAGACCGACGAUGCAGUGGAGCCCGCUGGAAGCGGCGAUGUCUUCGAGGCUAUCAAACCCUCUACCUCGGCCCCCGAGUAUCUCCCUCCUUACCAAGAGCCCCAAACACCCGUUCCAAGUUACAGACCAACCUCUGCGCCCAUCUCAAGACAGCGGCUUGUUCAGCAACCGACGCAAAUGGUGAGCUACAUCAACCCAGCGCCGGCACAACCUCUGACUCAAAAUUACCUCCCACCGGAAACAGCGGCAUCAAACGUCGACACAGUAAAGCAGCCAUUCCAAAAUUCCGUUUACUACACUCCGACGGUUCCGACGGUAAGACCGCUUGUUUCACAAUCAGUGACAAACUACUAUUUCCCGACACAAAGGACGACUCUCGCACCCAUCAGAGUUGAAAGUUUGAAGAGUUACCUACCACCAGAAAAUGCAGCGCCUUCGAAUGAGAACCCGGCCUUCGCUUUUCCGUCGACAACCACCCAGAAGCCUGCAACUCAAUCCAACGAGUAUCUUCCUCCCGAGAGCCCUGAGUCCACGAACGACAACCCAGCAUUUUUGCAACCGGCUCAGCCGAAAAAACCGGUCGACGGACUAGCCGGACGCUUCACCACACCCGACGAACACUAUCACACUCUCGAGGAACUGUGCAACGAUCCGUUCCACAGUUUCCUGUGCGAGCCCUUGAAGCCGAGAAGUAAAGACCGAUUCAAGAACCGGAACUCGAAAAAAGUGAACACUGGGAACAUUCCAGACGCAUCAUUUGUGCAACCACGUGUAGUCGCGCCUAGCACAACCAUUUCGCCGCCUACCAAUGAUCAGCCGUUAGUUCCCGCAAGUUCGUUCCAAGAUAUUACCAGAACUAAACUCCCGGAAGAAAAACACGAUUGUGAUAAGUCACAGCCGAUUGUUGCUGCAGCUUCAGUCAACCAGUCUCCACUAGUAUCAAAAAUUAAUGUGUCAUAUCUACCACCGGUCUCAACCACAACGACACAAGCACCAACCACAACAGCGGCUCCACAGACUCCAUCGACAGGUUUGUAUGCGAAGAAUCCUUUCAGUGAGCUCGUGUUCCAGAGUCCUAUUAAGCAGACUGCAAAACCGCAGCCAUUCAUCGCUAAGACCUACUUGCAACCUCAAACCAACGCCAUAGAAGAAAAACCCGUUUUACCGCAGCCUUCAAACAAUCAGUUUUCGUUCAUUCCUCGUCAGUUCCCAUCGACAACUAAGCCCCUUAAAAUCCCAGACUACCCUUGCAACAAGCAUAACUCGAUUGGUGAGACUCCAGCUGCUUCAUCGGUAUCUGAGAAUGUACAGGGAUACAACUACCCUCAGCCUCAACCUCCUUUUCCUCAACCUGCCGCUUCGAAUAUCGUGACAACUGGUUACAAUUACCCACAACCAGCUGCUUCGGCCGCUGUUUUAACAGGAUAUAGUUAUCCUCAACCGUCUCCUUCAACCAGCGUGACAACGGGUACAACUACCCCGUACCAGCAGCUUCCUCACUCGUAUCAACUGGGUAUGAGGAACCUCAGCCGUCUCCUUCAACCACCACGACAACAGGCUACAACUACCCCGUGCCAGCGGCUUCCUCGCUGGUAUCAACUGGAUACGAACAACCUCAGCAAGCCUCUGCACCCGUCACUGGAUACAGCUACCCUCAGCCAAAUCCGACAUUCAACGAAAUCCCUCAAGCCUCAAAUGAACAACCUACUUUUUCUGGUUACCAGUACCCCGUUCCCGCUUUCAAUCAACAAUAUCUGCAACCCGCAGCAUCGAUCAACUAUUUCGUGCCUUCAGCUCGACCAGUAG
rnacentral:lncRNA from 1 species